AUGUCUUCAGGGCAUUCUUAUCGAUUGUUGGCUAAGAUCAAGUGUAGUAUCUGUUCUUAUCGGUUUAAUAUCUGAUAUGUCCCCUAUCCAGGAACCAUAUAUUUAAUACAUUUUUCAGAAUGGGGGCCAAUUUUGAAGCUUGCUUCAGUCACCCUAGGUUUGUGACUGAUAGGUCUGUUUCUGCAAGCUGGUGCA